GGUCUCGUGGCCUAAUGGCUAAGGCAUCGCUUUCCGGUGGCGGAGAUUCCAGGUUCGAGUCCUGGCGGGAUCG
rnacentral:tRNA from 1 species